UGCAUCCUGGCUGAAUAUAGAACUGGUAGAAGAGCAGUCCACAGUCUCCAGGCUGCAGUGUGAGCAACAGGAAGCAGAACAUCAGAGGGAUCUCCUGGGCACCAGAGUAGCUGCGCUGAACUGUGACAUCCAGCAGAAAGACUGCAUGCAGCUCACAGAGCAGGACGAGGUGUCCAGUAGAGAUGACCUGCAGGCGGCGGACCGCUCGAGAAUCUGACUGCUGCACAAGAGGAGGAAGAGGAGCUGGCAGAGCAGAUGCAGCAGGUCACGUCAAGGGAGGAGGAGGUUGUGGCCCUACAGAAGGAGCAUCUGAAAGACUUUUGUAGUGGCAGCCACUUUAUGAGUCAGUGGAAGUUUCAUUAAACGUGUAAAUUUCAAAAGGACGAGCUGUGUGAUCUGUGAGAGGUGGUGCAGCGAUGGCAGCAGGAGGUGCAGGAGCAGAAGGAGAGCCGGGUAAAGGAGGUGCAGGCCCUUAAGGAAGAGCUGCAGAGCACACAAAGUUGUCUGCAGCAGCACAGAGAUACAGCCCACAGACAGCAGAGAGACACGGAGGAUGAGGUCUCCUGCAGGGCGGCAGCUCUCCGCAGUCAGGAUACAGAGUUGAUUCAACUAAAGGCAGGUCUGCUGGAGGCUGAGAAACUAGACACAGAGGCACGACUGCAACCUCUUACCGAAUCCCUAGAGCUCUGCCAACACAAGUACCAGGCCUGCCUCAGCAAGAUCACACAACAAGAGAACACUCUGCAUAGCCACGAGGAGGACCUGAAAGAGGCCCACAAUCAGAGGGAAGAGCAGGUCCUCCGUCUGAGGGCUCAGGUUGUAGCUCAGCAGGUACACUGCGCCCAGCUGGAGAGUGGAGACGAUGCCCUCACCGCUCUGAGCCAGCAGCUCCGAGACACGCUGGGAGAACUGGAGCACAGUCGUAAACACAGCCAGGAGUGUGAGCUGCUCAUCAGCACUCUCAGAGACACUGCUGCUACCCGUCUCUGACAGAGGUGCAGCGACUGCAGGAGCAGGUGAGAAAGCUCCAGGUGGAUGCAGCAGAUGAGGGCUGGAGACAAGCACAAGUUGAUUCUCUGGAACAGAAGGUAGCUAGUCUGGAAGGAGAACUACUGGCAGCUCAAAGGCAGUGUGACCAGGCUAUCCAAAAGAGAGACGCCCUACUUAGACAAUCCGAGGCUGAUCUUCUGCAGGCGUGGGAGAAGAUCCGAAGCAAGGCGGCGGAGGCAGAGAGACAGGCCGUCUCUGCUCGAGGGCUAGAAGCUGAUCUGUAGAAACCCAAGAAAGAGAAAAGGCGAAGGGAGAAAGAGUGCGCCUCACUCAAAACACAGAUGCUUCAGCUCAGAGAACAACUGAAGGAGGCUUACACCACCCGUAGAGACAUGGUCUCCUGUCUGAAAUGAAACAGCCCAUCAAUUCAGAGCCUCAAGACAUCAGCUGCAUGCACAUCUUCACACACACCACUGUGGGAAUGAUGCUCGUUAGAAACAAUAUCCUCAGCACAGAUGAAGACGGGCAGAUGUGGCCAAGGAGCUGACGCAGCAGCAGGAGAAAGUGCAGCUGUUGGAGAGAGGCCAGUGUCUGGCUCAGGAGCAGCUCUCAGAGAGAAAGCUCAGAGGAGACUCCAGGCAGAGCUCAAGAGAAUAACAGACAGUCUGGAAAGCACCCACCAGGAGCUACAGGACUCACGGAGGCUGCUGGAGCGUGUGAAGACAGAGGCCAGCAGCAGCAGACAGGAAGCCCUGAGACUCCGGCAGGAGAAACAGCAGAUCCAGGAAGAGCUGGAUGUCAACAGAGAGACCCUCUCAGCCCUGAAGACUAAAGCCGGGUGUGUGAGGGGCGACUGGUGGAGCUGCACACCCAGCAGCAGAUGACAGCCCUGCAGGCCAGAGACGAGGAAGUGCUCAUGCUAAAGAUGUGACAGCUCCUGACUUCACAGGGAAAGCAAGCUUGUCGUGACCAACGUGAACCAGUGGAUGAAGGAGCAAAGGCACACUAAUGAGAAACUGGCACUCAAGAUCAAAGACCAGAGCAGGAAGAUCAUCCACCUGACAGCUGAGAGAGAUGAAGAAAGAGGCAGAGGAAGAAGAAAGCACUUCCUGACCACCUGCAGCGCAAGUCUGUGCCAGUCAAUGCCUGUGUCUGGAUCGAAGUCAAUGACUACAGAACGGUUUUCUGCAAACCAGCUGUCUCUUGGAUCACUGACACGAUGAGUUCUAGAAAAACAUGAUUAUCAAAUGAUGGCUGAUAAUUGACCUUACUACAGAUAAAUGACUGACAGCCCAAAUAACAAAUCAAAUCAAUUCUCAGACUUUUGUCUGUCAAACAAAAGUCGCCUGCACUUAACCAACUAAUACUAGUACUUACCUUUUUUUCUUUUUCUUUUCUAUCAUAUUCCAAAAAAAAAAACGAACAAAAAAAAAAACCCUGGCUACGUGUUCUGUACUAGACUAACUGAGACUUGUCAUAGCACUUGUAUACCGUUGUUGUUUUCUCGUUGAUCUGAUUGUUUCUACUGUUCUCAUUUGUAAGUCGCUUUGGAUAAAAGCGUCUGCUAAAUGAUUAAAUGUAAAUGUAAAUGUAAAUGUAAAUGUAAACUGACUGAAUUGUAGAUUGCAUGAACAACUAAACUUCUGAAUGAUUGUCCAAAAGCGAAACAUCUCUAUGUUUGCUCAAAGGAAUAGUAGAAUAUAGAUUUUCAAGGUUAAAGGCAGGUGCACAGACCCCAAGUAGAUCAUGCAUGUGAAUUUUGAUCUUUCUGUUGUUAAUGCCAUGCUAUACUGUCUGAGCUUCAGAAAAGCACAUAAAAAAUCUAUCUUUAAAAUUUGGAAAAAAAAUAUUUAAAACAAUGUUUAUAAUAUUCACAUUUUGUAAAAAGCAGAUGUUUUAAAAAAUAUGUUAUGAGUUUUUUUGUUGUUGUUUUGUUUUGUUUUAUCAUAUGUUCUCAUGUUUACUUUUUUGUAAUGUGUGAAAAGUAUUAAUGUUAAAGGUUUACUAUUUAUCCCUGAUUUUUUUCUCAGAGUGUGAUUUUGGGUUAAUUGUAUUGAUUUAAUUUAGGAUCAAUUGACUCAGAACGUAAUUAUAUCCAGAAUUUUAACAUUAUACAAGUGAUAAAUAGCACUUGUUGUUCUUAAGGACAUUUACAUUCAUAGAAAAACACACACAAAAUGCAUUUGUCCUGUUUGCAUCUGCAGAAAGCAUCCAUUACAUAAUUUUCCUGUUUAUUAAUGUCAGUAUUUAUGACAACAACUGUCUGACUUCUUUACACUUGGCUAGAUUUUCCCUGGUAAUGUCACUAUUUUCUCAUCUUCUACCAUUAUAUUUAGUAUUUCGGCAUAAUAACCUGGAACAAAACCCUGUGCUUUCUGUUUUUUCUGCACAAUGAUUUGAGGUAUUUUAUUCCAAAGUCAUCAGGUGCAUCAUUCGCAUGUACAUCACCUGUUUGAGAAGCAGCGGCAGUGGUUAAGUUAUUGCUGUCGUAAGGUCAGUUGGGUCACUAUACCUUGUUGAUAACUCUUAAACCAGUCUAAGAUGGUUUGCAUGGUCUAAGUUGAUUUAUGAUUAUCUCUCAGCCUGACCAGAUUGCAUGAACAACUAAACUUCUGAAUUAUUGUCCAAAAGCUAAACAUCUCUAUGUUUGCUCAAAGGAAUAGUAGAAUAUAGAUUUUCAAGGUUAAAGGCAGGUGCAGGUCAACUGGUCUCUUCAAGCCUGACCAGCCAAAAAAUAGCUAAAACCAAACUAGGAGACCAGUUAAGACUUUCUUGGUCAAGCAGCUUCACCGGCACUAGAGCAACAAAGAGCAUAAACAAACCUGAACCAGCAUGAGAAUUCAUGACUAAACUGAACUAUUUAUCUGGAUACUCGUCUUAGAAAUGAUGAGAUCUCAUAUGUUGAUGAGACCUGAUUAUUUUCUGAAUAGCUCUGCACUAAGUAUCUGAUGCCCCUCGUGUUCAUUUAUAUACAGACAUCAGCUGCUGAUUUAUUUUUCUCUUUCAAAUUAAAUUUGCUGACAUGCAAUACUUCAUAUUUAAUGAACAUUCCGCUGUGAAUUUUGUGCCUAGUUACAUUUCAAGUUUACGGAGAUGAAUGAGAGUGUGAAUUCUAAUGGCAGGUAAAGUUUCAAUUCUGCUUCUGUCAUAGAUUGUGGUUUACAAAAGUUAAAGGUAAGGCUUGUAUUUGUUUAUGAAUCAAUCAUAUAAUAAUGCCUCAUAUCAGUCAGCCAGCAACAUUAAUAGCACUUUUAAAUGAUUAAAUAAUGCUGUGCCUUAUUCACUGUCAUCAUGCAUUUCCUAUAAACACAAAUCAGUCAAUAAAAGUGAUAUAUGUUUGUAUUUGGCAGCUUUUUUAACUAGUAAGGAUUAAAUGAAAUCAUUUCAGUAGAUGACUAUGAAGACAGUAGCAAAAGCAGAAAAAAAAAUGUCCUUACAUGUCAAGCGCAUGCUGUAAUAUUUCUGUUUCUGAUCACGAUGCUAUUUCGAAUAUUAUCCUCUUGCACAUAUGCAUGUGGAGAGCUUGUUGGUGAAUGAGAGCUUGAAGUGUUCUGAGUCAAUGAGAGUUGAACCCCAAGUGACAAGUUGUGAAAUCAAUAGACAACAGUCAAUACCCAACACUUAAGGUGCCUGUAGAAACUAAAGGAUGCCAAUAAUUGUUAUUAAUACUCCGGUUUUCCCAGAGCACUGUUUAAGGGCAAUUCUAGUGAAACAGACUUCUCAAACACAAUGGUGCCCUGAAGCUAUGCAACCAUAAUCACAUUCAAAACAAGGUUGUGAUAAUGUUGCAAAUAAUGAGGAAGGACUGUGAACAGCAAUGAACAGUAGCGUAAAUAAGUGGGUCAUAUGCAUUUUUGUGUAGUGCUGUUGAUCUUCGCACAUCUCAUUUUCAAGCUCAUCUAUAAAUGGGUUGUGUUCAAAGAAAGGCAAUAAAACAACUUUAUUCAUGCCACAUUAUAGACAAGUCAUCUGUCUGUAUAUAAAUCGGAUUUGAUUUACCAGCAGCACUGAUAUGUUUGUAUCACUCCACUUGUAUGUACACUGUAAAAAUUAAUAAAU
ensembl:lncRNA